CGUCUCCCACAUCCUCAUCACUGUCCUCCUGUGCCUCUGCCCUGGUUCCAGUUCAUGACCCCAUGAGUUUGGCAAGCGAAUUUUUGUUUUUCGCAAGUGGCGCCGUUCAAUUUGGAAAAAAAUUAAUCGACUCGGAGGUGGAGUGAAGCUGAGUUGGAGAAGGAGUGUUGGGCAAAGUGGUCAGCACAGGCAGUCCUUGAAGAUCCUAGUUGAUGUGUGGAGUGGGUCAAGCAGUCAUUGUGCUAUAGCUUGAUGGUGCCAGUGGGCAGGCUACUAUUACACAGUCUGUAGUAGCGAAGGUCAUUCACCAGCCGCUGUACACUUUGAGUGAACGAAGCUUGAAGUUGCGUGCAAGAACACCUCGUUGGCUGGUGUCUAAACCCUGGCAGCCAUUGAGGAACUCUGGCAUGAAGGCCGAGUAGAAGGCAUCAAAGUCGACAGAGGCC